AUGCUGUGUACAACCAGCGUGGUUCCGGAGCCGGAUACCAUGGGUGCCCCCGGGCUUCGUCCUCACAGGCUCUUCGUCGUGUUCGUUACUGUCACCGAGGUUUGGAACAACUGGAAUCACUCGGCGGAGAGUUACACCUCAACGGCGAGGUGCUCCGCCACCACAUGUGGGUUGGCGAAUAUGGUGGCGAUGGCCGCAACAUUGGCAUUCUCGCCCGAAAGCUAUGCUUCGGGGGCAAGGUGCUCCUCCUCCAAAGGUCAGAGGGGCACGACGGAGAUGCCUCACUGGCAUGUGCUCCUCCUCUACCAGUGGCAGAUCGUGAACAAAAUCUAA
rnacentral:rRNA from 1 species